rnacentral:rRNA from 1 species
CCUACGGGAGGCAGCAGUGGGGAAUAUUGCACAAUGGGGGGAACCCUGAUGCAGCAAUGCCGCGUGGGUGAAGAAGGACUCCGGUGCGUAAAGCCCGGUCAGCAGGGAAGAAAAGGACAGUACGUGGACAAGAAGCCCCGGCUAACGACGUGCCAGCAGCCGCGGUAAUACGUAGGGGGCCAGCGUUAUCCGGAUUGACGGGGGGUACAGGGAGCGAAGGCGGCGUGGAAAGUCAGAUGUGAAAACCCGGGGCCCAACCCCGGGAGUGCAUUUGAAACUUCCAUGCUGGAGUGCCGGAGAGGUCAGCGGACUUCCUAGUGUAGCGGUCACCUGCGUCGCUAUUAGGAGGCACACCAGUGGCGGAGGCGGCUUACUUGACGGUAACUGACGCUGAGUCUCGAAAGCGUGGGGAGCACACAGGAUUAGCUACCCUUGUCGUC